GAGAGAGUUCAAGAGUACGUGAAACCGUUCAGGGGUAAACCUGAGAAACCCAAAAGAUCGAAUGGGGAGAUUCAUCGUCAGCGACGUUGGCUUCCGUGCGGAUUGCGAUGGCCGUGAUCUCGAUUACGCGUCACGCGUUCGCUGCGGUAUGCCCGCCGUCGUCGGCGUGCACUUCUCCCCUAGUAGGACGUCGCGACCCGUUGGGUGCCGGCCUACGGCCCGGUUGGUCGACUGUCGCGUCGCGUUUACGCGUGCACGCGGCAGACCACCGGUCGCCCGGCCGGCUGCCCGGCGGUAUAGAUCGCUAUAAAACGGUAUUGGGCCGCAUUAAGUGCGUUCUGGCUCGUCGGCAGGCUCGUCUCGCUCGGAUUUACGGACCUAGUGCCGUUGCCGGGCGCUUGGCGUGGCCGUUAGUCGACGAUGUCCUCGGACUGGCUCUUACAUUCGAACGGAUUUACCGGUCGGCGACGCUACUGCUUUGGGUACUUUCAGGACCCGUCUUGAAACACGGACCAAGGAGUCUAACAUGUGCGCGAGUCAUUGGGACUUGUUAAGCCUAAAGGCGCAAUGAAAGUGAAGGUCGGCCUUAGCGUCGACCGAGGGAGGAUGGCUCGCGUCACGAUGCGAGCCCGCACUCCCGGGGCGUCUCGUGCUCAUUGCGAGCAGA
rnacentral:rRNA from 1 species